UGGUUGACAGCAUGCCUCGACGUCUAUUGGUAGUAAUUAAUGCUAAGGGUGGCAACACUAAAUAUUGAAGCUCUAGUGUGAAGAUUACCGCGUAUUUUGCAGUCACUAGCACUAAAAUGCAGAAAAUUAAUUUAAUUUUUUGUAUGUAGUAUACUCAUAAGCAAAAACAAAAACCAUGCAAAAAAAUAAACUUCACUUUUCAAAAGA